UACGUAGGUCCCGAGCGUUAUCCGGAUUUAUUGGGCGUAAAGCGAGCGCAGGCGGUUGGAUAAGUCUGAAGUUAAAGGCUGUGGCUUAACCAUAGUAUGCUUUGGAAACCGUUCAACUUGAGUGCAGAAGGGGAGAGUGGAAUUCCAUGUGUAGCGGUGGAAUGCGUAGAUAUAUGGAGGAACACCGGUGGCGAAAGCGGCUCUCUGGUCUGUAACUGACGCUGAGGCUCGAAAGCGUGGGUAGCGAACAGG
rnacentral:rRNA from 1 species